rnacentral:rRNA from 1 species
GACGAACGCUGGCGGCGUGCUUAACACAUGCAAGUCGAACGGAAAGGCCCUGCUUUUGUGGGGUGCCCGAGUGGCGAGGGGGGGAGUAACACGUGAGUAACCUGCCCUUGACUUUGGGAUAACUUCAGGAAACAGGGGCUAAUACCGGAUAGGAGCUCCUGCUGCAUGGUGGGGGUUGGAAAGUUUCGGUGGUUGGGGAUGGUCUCGCGGCUUAUGAGCCUGUUGGUGGGGUUGGGGCUUACCAAGGCUUGGAUGGGUAGCCGGCCUGGGAGGGUGACGGGCCACAGUGGCCGAGAGAUGCCGCCAAGACGCAUACGUGCGGAAGGGGCGGGGAAUAUAGCACACUGCGCGGAAGCAGGAUGCAGCAACGCCGGGUGCGGGAGGACGGCCUUCGGGUUGGAACCGAUUUCGCAUGUGCCGAAGCGUGAGUGACGGUAAUGGGUAAAGAAGCACCGGCUAACUACGUG